AUCAGCUUGGUCGGACGGUCGAGGUGGCGCAGCGCUGCUGCCGUCGCGGUGCUCUCCGACCCGGUCAUCUGCUGCUGGUUCUGUUCCUGAACCUGCUGC
rnacentral:tRNA from 1 species